UCUGCUUUUGUGUUUGUUCUCAUUUGCUGUAGCUAAAGACCUGCUAUUUCCAUCCCGUUAUAGCAUUACAACAUCCUAUCUGCUGACAGGGUCAGAGAGCAACACACAAGUCUAAACCAGCAUCUGGACUGUUAACAUAAUGGUUUUGAAAUGCAAAAAGUCAGAUCCAGAAGGUGAAGUGCCACAUAGUCCAAAUGCCACACUUGACUUCAUCAGGAUUUGAUCAUGAUUAGACCAGAUUGACUCUCUAAGGGAAACUGUGGGAACUAAAAGUUGUGGAAAGACUUUGCUAUAGCAAGAAAAAUGCUCAUGUUUCAAGGAUAGAUGAAGUCUACUGAUUCCUUUAGAAAUUGCAUCACUGCUUCUUAAAGAAGAAAGAUAAACUGCCUAUUUAUGCAACAACUCUGAUUCUGGAACUGUUUUUAGGGUGCAAGCAGUGGUGCUCAUAACAGGCUGAAGUUUGGUGUGAGAGACACCAAAGAACAAUUUCUGUGCUCUUACUGCCAGUUAAGUAGUAAUGGAGCAGGCAAAAACAAGUGAACAGGCUAGCUCCUGUGGGCAGCCUUGAGACCUGUUGGAUGCUCACAGCCCACUGUGUUCACGCAGAUGGAGCCAAACUGCUCUUAGACAGUGACACAGUAUUUCCUCUAUGCAUGUGCAAAUUUUUUAUUAUAAAACCUGGAAAAAACACUACUGCUAUCACCUCUCCUACCCAGUGUGGGCAGAUUACUUGUACAGCAUUUAACCUCUGAAAUUCAAGUUCUCACCCAUGAGAAAUCAGUUGGCUCACAAUGCCUGGGAUAACAUAAUCCUUGUGUUGCAGAGUUAAACAGAAAAUUUUUCAGACAGCUAUAGAGAAGGGUAAUCAACAAUAACCUAUUCAUCAUGCAAUUCAAUUCCAAUCGGAGGUCAAUAGAAGGCUGAAGUCAGAAGUAUUCAGUAUUUGUCUAGUAUAAUUUAAAAUAUCUUGAAGAAUAUGGCUUUUCCUCACUGUCACUUCAUUUUCCUUGAAAUGAUUUUCCUCCUUUCCUCUUGAUUGUAUUAAGAGAAGAAUAAUGGCACAAUGUCCAUCAAGACAGGGGACAAAAUGAUGGUCUUGUGAAACAGUUUGAAUUUUAUAAGGGACAGAGAUGUAAUGGUGUGUGAAUAUAAAGCCAAUUAACAUAUGUUCCAAUGCUGUUUAUUUUGUUCCCACGUAAAAGCAAAAGUACAGAUUUGCAUAUUGACUUGUGGAAGGCCUAAAAAUAGUUUUGAGAAUAAGUCAAAUUGUCAUUUUUGUGCUUGGUUUCUUUUCGAGGUCCUACUGGGCCAAAUUUUGUCCUAUUUUUACAGCUGUAGUUUUCUAAAGGAACUUCCUUAUAAGCAGCAAUUGUUUUGUACUUUCA